rnacentral:rRNA from 1 species
GACGAACGCUGGCGGCGUGCCUAAUACAUGCAAGUUGAGCGCUGAAGGUUGGUAUUUGUGCCAAGUUGGUGAGCCGAGCACGUGAGAGUCACGCGAGGGGCCUCUGCUUUAGUGUGGGGGACAAAAUGUGAAAACGAAUGCUAAUACCGCAUGAACACUUUAAACACGGGUUGUGAGUGUGAAAGAUGCAGUUGGGUGAUUUAGAGAUGGUUCCGCGUUUUAUUAGUUAGUUGGUGGGGUAAUGGGUCACCAAGGCGUUGAUGGGUAGCCGGCCUGAGCGGGUGACCGGCCACAUUGGGAAUGAGAUACGGCACAGACGCCUACGGGAGGAAGCAGUGGAGAAUAUUGCAGAAUGGGCGGAAGCCUGAUGCAGCAACGCCGCGUGCGGGAUGACGGCCUUCGGGUUGUAAACUGCUUUCGCCUGUGACGAAGCGUGAGUGACGGUAAUGGGUAAAGAAGCACCGGCUAACUACGU